rnacentral:rRNA from 1 species
UACGUAGGGGGCAAGCGUUGUCCGGAAUCAUUGGGCGUAAAGAGCGUGUAGGCGGCCCGGUAAGUCCGCUGUGAAAGUCCAGGGCUCAACCCUGGGAUGCCGGUGGAUACUGUCGGGCUCGAGUCCGGAAGAGGAGUGUGGAAUUCCAGGUGUAGCGGUGAAAUGCGUAGAUAUCUGGAGGAAUACCGGUGGCGAAGGCGGCAUCCUGGACCGGCAUUGACGCUGAGGAGCGAAAGCCAGGGGAGCAAACGGG